CGCGAGUCUUGGUAAAUCGGAGCUACAGUGCUGGUUAUCGGACUAUUGGAGAACUACAUAUAACGAACAACUUCUAGGUCAAGUGGAACCAAAGACCCUUCCUAGGAACACCGGGUGACAGGGCAACUUCCAUCUUCUGCUGACCAAACCUUGACUUGAGCAUCCAUCCCACCACUUAGAAUUACCACUCCUGAAGGAAAGAACCU